AAUGAUGUGCCUGAUUAAAAGGGUUAUCUUGAUAGGGUAAACAAUGUGAUUUAUUCAUCAUCAUUA
rnacentral:tRNA from 1 species